rfam:Thalassiosira oceanica strain CCMP1005 To_g06611, whole genome shotgun sequence.
GCCUGUAUGGCGCAGUGGUAACGCAUCUCACUUGUAAUGAGAAGAUCCCCAGUUCGAUCCUGGGUGUAGGUG